CACAAUGGCCGGCCGAUCGUAGCCACCGGUAAUGACGACGUUCUCGUGAGCGUAAUGGUAUAAGCCUGCCUGACUGUGAGACCGACUGGUCGAACAGAGACGAAAGUCGGCCAUAGUGAUUCAGGAGUCCUGUGUGGAAGGGCUCUCACUCAA
rnacentral:ncRNA from 1 species